rnacentral:rRNA from 1 species
GACGAACCGAGCGAACGUUAUUCGGAAUCACUGGGCUUAAAGGGCGCGUAGGCGGGCCAUCAAGUCAGGGGUGAAAGCCCCCAGCUCAACUGGGGAAGUGCCUCUGAUACUGGUGGCCUCGAGGGAGGUAGGGGCGUGCGGAACUUCCGGUGGAGCGGUGAAAUGCGUAGAUAUCGGAAGGAACACCGGUGGCGAAAGCGGCGCGCUGGACCUCUUCUGACGCUGAGACGCGAAAGCGUGGGGAGCGAACAGG